rnacentral:hammerhead_ribozyme from 1 species
AUCCAGGUGACGAGUCCCAAAUAGGACGAAACGCUUGUCCUAGAU